rnacentral:pre_miRNA from 1 species
CAUAUACUCCCUCCGUCUUAAAAUUCUGAUCUUAGAUUUAUGUAGAUAUGAAUAUAUCUAGUCACAUUUUAGUAUUUUGAUAUAUUCAUUUCUAGACAAAUUUAAGAUAAGAAUUUUGGAGCGGAUGAAUGAAGUA